rnacentral:rRNA from 1 species
UCGAGGGGUAUAGGUUUUCGGACCUAGAGACCGGCGCACGGGUGCGUAACGCGUAUGCAAUCUACCUUUUACAGAGGGAUAGCCCAGAGAAAUUUGGAUUAAUACCUCAUAGUAUUAUUGAAUGGCAUCAUUUAAUAAUUAAAGUCACAACGGUAAAAGAUGAGCAUGCGUCCCAUUAGCUUGUUGGUAAGGUAACGGCUUACCAAGGCAACGAUGGGUAGGGGUCCUGAGAGGGAGAUCCCCCACACUGGUACUGAGACACGGACCAGACUCCUACGGGAGGCAGCAGUGAGGAAUAUUGGUCAAUGGGCGCAAGCCUGAACCAGCCAUGCCGCGUGCAGGAUGAAGCAUCUAUGGUGUGUAAACUGCUUUUGUACGAGAAGAAACACUCCUUCGUGAAGGAGCUUGACGGUAUCGUAAGAAUAAGGACCGGCUAACUCCGUGCCAGCAGCCGCGGUAAUACGGAGGGUCCAAGCGUUAUCCGGAAUCAUUGGGUUUAAAGGGUCCGUAGGCGGUUUUGUAAGUCAGUGGUGAAAGCCCAUCGCUCAACGGUGGAACGGCCAUUGAUACUGCAAGACUUGAAUUAUUAGGAAGUAACUAGAAUAUGUAGUGUAGCGGUGAAAUGCUUAGAGAUUACAUGGAAUACCAAUUGCGAAGGCAGGUUACUACUAAUGGAUUGACGCUGAUGGACGAAAGCGUGGGUAGCGAACAGGAUUAGAUACCCUGGUAGUC